rnacentral:tRNA from 1 species
AUGGGAAUCGAACCCACAGUAUUCCGCUUACCGGGCAGAUGCCAUGUCCACUAGGCU